AUCGUAUCGUUGCCUUUUUUCGCCUGGUGCCCUUCUGGGUUGUUGGGUGGACGUCAGGCACGCUGCGUGUUCCUUGCAUGCCUUGCAUUUUUGUGGGGCUGUUGAGGUCCACGGAGCUGUUGCUUGUUCUCUUGGAUGCGGAAUGUCUCGCAUGGGCGCGGGGUCUCGACCUUUGCUCGCCCAAGCUAUGCAUUUGUCCCUUGACACGAACGACAGCUGCGGCUGUGUUGAUCCCAUUGUAGCCCAUGUGCUUGAUGGGGCUCAUGCGGUCGUGGUGUCGUGA
rnacentral:misc_RNA from 1 species